rnacentral:lncRNA from 1 species
GGGUCUGUGAUCCAGGGGGACGGAGAGAUUGACGGGGACGUCACCCAUCGGAUAGGAUCGGGUGGUCAAAGUGGAGGCUUGCUUCAGGGGUCCUAUGUGACAAGAAAAUCCCGCACAAACUAAAGGGAAAAUUCUAUAGAGCCGUGGUUAGACCUGCAAUGUUGCAUGGGGCGGAGUGCUGGCCCGUGAAGAACUCGCAUGUUCAGAGAAUGAAGGUUGCGGAGA